AAAAUAAUCAGGGGUGAAAUAACUAAAUGUCAGGAGAAGUUGCAUCUCACUGAACAUCACGAAGGAAAUUGGAGAUUCGUAAGGUAGCCAAUAAGCAACCGAAUUCAAUUAGCAGAUCAUUGUUUUAGCUGAAUGCUUAGUGACGUAGCAUUACAGAUUUUGAGUUGCUUAUGCUUGUAUGCAUGGAUAAGUUAGGCAGCCAACUAAUUAUCAAUUUCCUACCUGAGGAAAUUGAAAAAGCAACAGAGACUUGUAAUGAAG
rnacentral:misc_RNA from 1 species